rnacentral:rRNA from 1 species
AUUGAACGCUAGCGGGAUGCCUUACACAUGCAAGUCGAACGGAGUGGCGAUUGGGUGAGUAUUGUCUCGGUACGUGCCCCGUCGCGGGGGAUAACUAUGCGAAAGCGUAGCUAAUACCGCAUACUAUUGGAGUGGUCUCUACCGGAUUAGCUAGUGGGUGGGGUAACGGCUCACCAAGGCCACGAUCCGUAGCUGGUUUGAGAGGACGACCAGCCACACUGGGACUGAGACGCGGCCCAGGCUCCUACGGGAGGCAGCAGUGGGGAAUUUUGGACAAUGGGGGAAACCCUGAUCCAGCCAUCCCGCGUGUGCGAUGAAGGCCUUCGGGUUGUAAAGCACUUUUGGCAGGGAAGCGGUACCUGCAGAAUAAGCACCGGCUAACUACGUGCCAGCAGCCGCGGUAAUAC